rnacentral:lncRNA from 1 species
GUUGACAUGUCAUCACUUCAUUUUUUUGCGCCUGCGCAUAAAUCUGAGAAACGUGAGUUUGUCAUCAUUUUUAUCUAGACAUAGGAUAGGUUGUGUGAAAAUAUUACUGAUGUUUAACGUUAAAAAUGGACCAAAAGAUUAAUGCUAAACAACAUUUGACAUGUUUGAACGAACAUAAAUAGAUUAUUUACUAGUUUUUUUAGCUUUUCGGGCGUGAUUUUACCAGCCCCACACCACGUUUUGUGGGAGCAUAAUGAACGCUAAGUACUUGGUGUUAUUUGGACAUAAAUUAUGAACUUUGUCAAAAGAAACCACAUUUGUUCCGGACCUGGAAUGCCUUCCGGACCUGGGAUCCUGCCUUCUGAUGGAGAUAAUCAAAGAGCUUCUGGACAUCAGAACAGUGAUUACUCACCUCAAACAGGACAAGGAUUUUUUCUUUAAUGAGUCAGACGCAAAGGAAAUACUGCUCCUCCCAGACCAGGCCCAAACCCCGUCAUCCGUAUGAAGUGGAGACGGUGUUGGCGAGACUGAGUGGGCAAUCCGAUGAGUGGGAAAUCCGCCUUUACAGUCGAUUCUACUGGCGAACGUGCAAUCGCUGAAGAAUAAACUGGAUGAGCUCCGUUAGAGACUAUCCUAUCAAUGGGAGAUUAAAGAGCAUAUUCAAGUAAGAAGCAAUAGGAUUUGAAGCAAUAGCCAACAACUAUUUUAGCACCAUUUUGCGCUGCUCUGAAGCAAGCAUGGGGACUGGUCUUGAUAAAUCUAUGAGAUUUUUAUUUUCACUUAAUCUCCGUUUGGGUAUUGUUUAGACAAGAAUUAGAAAUUAAAGUGCAGAAAUGCUAUGCUAUGAAAUGCUCUAGUGUAACCUUUAUUUAACUAGGCAAGUCAUUUAGGAGCAAAUUCUUAUUUCCAAGGACAGCCUACUCCUUCCUCAUGCUCUGCGGGGAUUCUGUAGCUAAAUAGCCCAGGAGUACAGCCAACCGUCACGUUGUACAGCACCAUAUUUUCCAUUCCAUCCUCUUGGAAUAGAAAAAACAUAAUAUUAAUCAUAUUAAUUAAGCAAUUACCAGUCAAAAGUUUGGACAUACCUACUCAUUCCAGGAUUUUUCUUUAUUUUUUACUAUUUUAUACAUUGAAGAAUAAUAGUGAAGACAUCAUAAUCAUUUUGUUUGUGAUUGUUUCUGUUGAAUUGUGUCUUUGUUUUGUAUGUUUGAAAUGUUCUUGUCUGUAUGCCUAAAACUGUACAUGUCAACAUGUUUACACAGGGCACAGCCGUAAAAGAGAUCCAGGUCUCAGUCUGUUUUCCCUGUUAAAAUAAAGAUAAAAAAAAAAUAAAAAACAUAACUAUGAAAUAUCACCGGUCUCCCGCAUGCCCCGAAUUCUGUAGUACAGACAUUGCAUGCUCUCCCUUAAGUAAGGAAUUAGGCACUUUCCCAUGUUUACUACAAUAUGUAUUGUAGACUGCACAGUAGCCUAAUAAAUAAAUAAACACAUUUUGUUAAUAAAAUAAUGAUAAAAAUACUCUUUCAAAAUGCAGAUGUUGAUUUAGUUAUGGAUCCAUAACGGAUUACUAUGGGAAUAAAUAUCACUGAUUUACAGAAAUAUUGGAACAAAGUUGUCUAAUGAAGGCAAACAAUUUAGAAUCCUCCAAUCCUGUAGCCUACUCCCGACCAUCAUGUUGUACAGCGCCAUAUUUUCAAUUCCAUCCUAACGGAAACCCUGAGUUAUUUUUCUGAAUAGAAACACCAUAAUUUUAAUCAAAUUAAUUUAUCCAAAUUUCUUAACCUGUUAGGGCUAGGGGGCAGCAUUUG